CAGUCGCCACGGGAAUACGUAGGGUGCAAGCGUUAAUCGGAAUUACUGGGCGUAAAGCGUGCGCAGGCGGUUAUAUAAAACAGAUGUGAAAUCCCCGGGCUCAACCUGGGAACUGCAUUUGUGACUGUAUAGCUAGAGUACGGCAGAGGGGGAUGGAAUUCCGCGUGUAGCAGUGAAAUGCGUAGAUAUGCGGAGGAACACCGAUGGCGAAGGCAAUCCCCUGGGCCUGUACUGACGCUCAUGCACGAAAGCGUGGGGAGCAAACAGGAUUAGAUACCCGAGUAGUCCCUGUCUCUUAUAC
rnacentral:rRNA from 1 species